CUGUGCGUGGCAGCGGACAUUUUGGGGCUAUGCUUCUUAAUUUAUCUUUUUCUUCGCAGAUGGACGCCUGAGCACAGGACGAACGCAGAGGACAAAUGCAAGCGUCGACUUUGAUUUUCGAACCUCCCCAGACCAGAGAGUGGUUGAAACUUAUCAAUACUGAAAAGUUUUUAAGAAUAACGGUUUUCUGGUUUCCGUACAAAAAGACCCCAAAAUUCGAAGUACUUAACGUCCGAGACUAAAGUUCGAAAUGGUGUGCGAGUCUUUUGUUUUGAACGGGAUCUUCCAAUGAAAGGGCUCUCGAGGAGAGACAAUUUUAUGACGUAUGGGAUCGAAUGUCCUGCUAAUCAGGUGUCAAUGGUGCCUUUGAAUGCAUUACGUCACUUUAACUCUUCACGCUCGACCUGUCGUGGAAUUCACUUAAUCUCUGCUUUUGGUUAUUCACCAUUUUAUUUUGAAUGGCCUCAUUUAUUACCAUAUAAGUCGAUAAUUUUAUCUGUUUCUAAUUUGGUCUGGCUCAGUGAUCGAAUUCUUUUGAGCGGCAUUUGAGUGAAAACAUUACAAAAUAACGAGAAGCAGAAAAGUUUGGCCGCAGGUGUUUAAACUUAAGUUCAUUCUCAAAGUUCAACACCAAACUUCGAACUAGUUUCUGAAACUUCACAUCGAGGAAAACUCAUGGAUCAAAUUGACGUGGUCAAUGUCGACGGUCAAUCCGUUCAGUACAUUGGAAUUUUCCACUGAUUCUGGACCAUCACUAUGACAAAAAUGACAUAACACGCGGCCAAAAUGAAACAUCAGAAUUACAACAUCAUAUCAUCUGGCCAUAAAAUAACUUCAACUUGAGCCUAACAUCGCCUUGAGCUGAGAAAAUUGGGAGCUUGGGAAAAUGAGGGACAUCUUUGAACACCAGAAUCGUCCUUCGACAAUCAAAUUCUUGGACAAAUCUAGAAUGACAUUCAGCGAGACUGCCUGAAGAAUUGGAAGGUUGAAAGUUGUAGUUCACCCCCAACUGACGACAGACAGACUUGCUCAAUGGCCUUACACCGAAAAAUUCAUCAGCAGAUUAGAUCAUUCGACUUGCUGAUGAUGUGGUUGUUUUGCUUAUCUUGGUGCUAGAUAACACAAUAUAUCCAUGGGAAUAACAAUUUUAAGAAUAUCAAAAAUGUUUAUCUCAAUUGUACGCCGAAGUUUUCGAAAUUGAAACGAAAAAAUCAAGGUAGCUGUCGAACUCAUUAAUCAACAAAAUAAUUCAAAGUCAAUCUGAAGUUUUAAUCUGAAUCCUCAACCUGAAAUAGAAAUGAAAUUUUCAUUGCUAAUCCCAUUUCAAAUUUACUUCAAGUUUGAAACAAAUAUGCUAUCAUGGGUGCAAGUUUGUUGAAAAUUUACUAUAUAAGACCUUAAAAAUUAGCUAAUAUAACCAAAAAUUUCGAAUAAAUUACUAUGAUAGAACAAAUUAUUCCAUUGCAGUCCAUAUAAUUGGUGCUCUCAAAUAAUAUGAAUUUUGUAUUGUUCCUCAAAAUUUCAUUAUUUAACAAUCCAUGAUUUUAUUCCCAAUUGAAAUGCAAUUAGAUGACAUUUAACACCCAUUUUGAAGUCAACACCAACUCAAAAUGAAGAAAAAGUCAUCAUAAAAUUGAAUUAAACUUGAAACAACA